AUGCACAAAACCUAUUCUACAAAACCAGUCCACUGAGCCAACAUACAUGUUCUAUUGAAAUUUCAAUUGUCAAAAUGACAUCGAAGCCAUUGAUUUAUGAUGACGAGAAGGUACAUUCAUCUCUCAGAAAUUUUACUUUUUCAUUUCUUUUAUUGUUUUGUUUAUUUUUUUGUGUUUUUACGAAAUCCUUUUCAUUAUUCAUGAUAACUCAAAGUCCAUGAAAAGUCAAA